rnacentral:rRNA from 1 species
UAAGUAGGGGGCAAGCGUUGUUCGGAUUUACUGGGCUUAACGGGCGCGAAGGCGGCGCGUAAAGUCGGACAUGAAAUCAUAGGGCUUAACCCGAUGGCUGUGCCCGAUACUUCCGUGCUUAGAGUGCGGGAGGGGCAAUCGGAAUUCUCGGUGGAGCGGUGAAAUGCGUAGAUAUCGAGUGGAACUCCGGUGGCGAAGGUGGGUUGCUGGACCGACACUGACGAUGAGGCGCGAAAGCUAGGGGAGCAAACGGG